rnacentral:rRNA from 1 species
AUUGAACGCUGGCGGCAUGCUUUACACAUGCAAGUCGGACGAGUGGCGUACGGGUGAGUAACGCAUCGGAACGUACCCAGUAAUGGGGGAUAACUGCUCGAACGAAUAGCUAAUACCGCAUAUUCUUCGAUCGGCCGCUGUCUUAUUAGCUGGUUGGGGGGGUAAAGGCCCACCAAGGCGACGAUCCGUAGCGGGUCUGAGAGGAUGAUCCGCCACACUGGGACUGAGACACGGCCCAGACUCCUACGGGAGGCAGCAGUGGGGAAUUUUGGACAAUGGGCGCAAGCCUGAUCCAGCCAUGCCGCGUGUCUGAAGAAGGCCUUCGGGUUGUAAAGGACUUUUGUCAGGGAAGCGGUACCUGAAGAAUAAGCACCGGCUAACUACGUGCCAGCAGCCGCGGUAAUUC